UGGGUUGCAGUAUAUUCUAUCACCAUCCUCAUGUACUGUUGAAACCAGGUGAGGCAGUGCUCCCUGCCUCCCCCCCCCCCCCGGGCUACCUUCUGUUAAUGGGCCCAUCAAUGCCCUGCCCCAUGACUCAUAGAUAACUUCCCCCUGUAUUGUCCCCUGUUAAUGGACCCACCACUGCCUUGCUGCAUGACUCAGAGAUAACUUCCUCCUGGACUGUUUUCUGUUAAUGGCUCAUCAAGGCCUUAUCUCAUGACUCACCAUCCCAUUGUGAGAUGCUCCUCCCCGAGGGAGGAGCCAAGCAUUCCAUACUGGAUAUAAGCUGAGAAUUCGAACACCAUGGCAGCCCUUACCUACGGGACUUCCAGAGGACAGGAGCUACUGCUGGACUUUCAGCUGAAGACCAGACCCCCUUUCUUCCAGAGGAUCACGCUUCAACAAGACCACCUCAUCUGGACGACUACCAUCACCCUAACAGGGUUCCAGGCUGUAUUCUGACUCUGUCAGUGUUUUUGAUAUUAUUGCAUUUAUUCUUUUUAUCAUUUUCCUAUUAAAUUAUAAUUCUGACUUGCGAUCUCUCACUGGUUUGAUUUCAAACUAGUACAUGCCUGUAAGACUGUGGG